rnacentral:rRNA from 1 species
AACGAACGCUGGCGGCAUGCCUAACACAUGCAAGUCGAACGAAGGCUUCGGCCUUAGUGGCGCACGGGUGCGUAACGCGUGGGAAUCUGCCCUUGGGUUCGGAAUAACAGCGGGAAACUGCUGCUAAUACCGGAUGAUGACGUAAGUCCAAAGAUUUAUCGCCCAAGGAUGAGCCCGCGUAGGAUUAGCUAGUUGGUGGGGUAAAGGCCCACCAAGGCGACGAUCCUUAGCUGGUCUGAGAGGAUGAUCAGCCACACUGGGACUGAGACGCGGCCCAGACACCUAGGGGAGGAGCAGGGUGGAAAUAUUGAACAAGGGGGGACGUUGUCACCCAGCAGGGCCUGGGGGUGGAAAAAGGCCUUGGGGUGGAAAUAUUUUUUCCCCGGGGGUGGAAAUGAAGGUACCGGGAGAAUAAGCCACGGCUACCUCCGUG